rnacentral:rRNA from 1 species
UACGUAGGUGGCAAGCGUUUGUCCGGAUUUAUUGGGUUUAAAGGGUGCGUAGGCGGUCUUCUAAGUCAGUUGUGAAAUACUUCAGCUUAACUGGAGAGGUGCAAUUGAUACUGGAAGACUUGAGUACUGAUGAGGUAGGCGGAAUGGACGGUGUAGCGGUGAAAUGCUUAGAUAUCGUCCAGAACACCGAUAGCGAAGGCAGCUUACUAAGGAGUAACUGACGCUGAGGCACGAAAAGUGUGGGGAUCAA